GGACCAGAGAACUUACAGCUGUUUCUUCUAAUGUGAGUUAUUGAGCUAUGAAGAUGACACGUCGAUGCUAACUGAAUCACAGAUGACUUGGUGGUUUACAAUGACACUGCAAGAGAAAUUUAAUUCAGGGAGAGGUCAGAAGUCAGGGUCGGUUACAACUUCCAUCCCAUCACUGAAAACAACCCAGUUAUUGUGUCAUGUAAAUGCAGUCAAGUUCUUGUAUAUAAUGCAUUUGCGUUCACUGGGCUGGUGAGGAGAGAAAAAGAAGAGGAGACAGAUGGAGAGAGGUGGAAACAGAGAGAGGACUGCCCUUCAGCGGGGCUCCUUGUGCUCCAGUUUGAUAACAGUAGCACGGUGAAAAUAAGCCCCACUCGCAUCUAAGUGCCAUGAGGAGCCACUCCUAGCGCUAUAGGGGAGCUACAUGCUAAUGCUUCCUGGAGGCAGGGAGACCUGUAGUCGGGGAUAUUACCAUGCCGACCACUGACAGAAAAACAGUAAUGUGCCUACAUAUACGCAGACACAGGAGGGGAAGCUGUCUGCAUACAGAUACAUUUGUGCAGGAAAAUGCUCAAUAACGUUACUAUGAGCAUAGCAUCUGGUUUUUGUCAUCUUUCCCAGUAAGGAAAUCAGGAUCAUGACCUCUUUAAAGGGAUGCUUUGCCCACAAAACACCGCUGCAUAUGUAUAGGGCACCUGGGCCAGCACAUAUGUUUGAACUCUGCUCGCGUAUUCCACUGAGCAGAGUUCAAAUGCUUGCCAAGGCGUGCUACUUGUCCAUGCAUGAGAGUGUUUAUGCAGAAGUGUUUUAGAUAGUAAGGUUUUAUGGAAAAUACAUGUGUUUGGGAAGUACUGAGCAUAAGACUGAAUAAAUCUGACUUGGAUUAAAUUG